GUGUGUGUGUGUGUGUGUGUGUGUCCUGUGUGUGUGUGUGUGUGUGUGUGUGUGUGUGUGUCCAGUGUGUGUGUGUCCAGUGUGUGUGUGUGUGUGUGUGUGUGUGAGUCCAGUGUGUGUGUGUGUGUUUGUCCAGUGUGUGUGUGUGUGUGUGUGUGUUUGUCCAGUGUGUGUGUGUUUGUCCAGUGUGUGUGUGUGUGUGUGUUUGUCCAGUGUGUGUGUGUGUGUGUUUGUGUGUGUCCAGUGUGUGUGAGUCCAGUGUGUGUGUGUGUGUGUGUGUGUGUGUGUGUGUCCAUCCAGUGUGUGUGUGUUUGUUUGUCUAGUGUGUGUGUGUUUGUGUGUGUGUGUGUGUGUUUGUCCAGUGUGUGUGUGUGUGUGUGUGUUUAUCCAGUGUGUGUGUGUGUGUGUGUGUGUGUUUGUCCAGUGUGUGUGUGUGUGUGUGUGUGUUUGUCCAGUGUGUGCGUGUGUGUGUGUGUGUUUGUCCAGUGUGUGUGUGUGUGUGUGUGUGUGUGUGUGUGUUUGUCCAGUGUGUGUGUUGUGUGUGUGUGUGUGUUUGUCCAGUGUGUGUGUGUGUGUGUGUGUGUGUGUGUGUGUGUGUGUUUGUCCAGUGUGUGUGUGUGUGUGUGUGUUUGUCCAGUGUGUGUGUGUGUGUGUGUUUGUCCAGUGUGUGUGUGUGUGUGUGUUUGUCCAGUGUGUGUGUGUGUGUGUGUGUUUGUCCAGUGUGUGUGUGUGUGUGUGUGUGUGUUUGUCCAGUGUGUGUGUGUGUGUGUUUGUCCAGUGUGUGUGUGUGUGUGUGUGUGUCCAGUGUGUGUGUGUGUGUGUGUGUCCAGUGUGUGUGUGUGUGUGUGUGUGUGUCCAGUGUGUGUGUGUGUGUGUGUCCAGUGUGUGUGUGUGUGUGUGUGUCCAGUGUGUGUCCAGUGUGUGUGUGUGUGUGUCCAGUGUGUGUGUGUGUCCAGUGUGUGUGUGUGUGUGUGUGUCCAGUGUGUGUGUGUGUGUGUGUGUCCAGUGUGUGUCCAGUGUGUGUGUGUGUGUGUCCAGUGUGUGUGUUGUGUGUGUGUGUGUCCAGUGUGUGUGUGUGUGUGUGUGUGUGUGUGUGUGUGUGUCCAGUGUGUGUGUAUGUUUUUGUCCAGUGUGUGUGUGUGUGUGUGUGUCCAUUUUGUGUCCAGUUUCAGUUCAGUGUGUGUGUGUGUGUGUUCAGUGUGUGUUCAGUGUGUGUGUGUGUGUGUGUGUGUGUGUGUGUGUGUGUGUGUGUGUGUGUGUGUCCAGUUAUUAUUUCAGGGACACUGAAGAGCCAACAUAAUAAACCCUAAACCCUGGAUAGAGGGGCUCAGUGAAUGUGGAGGUGAAUGUGAUCAGGUGGGUCAGUGUGUCAGAGGAGGCUCUAUAGAAGGACAGAGUGCCGGCUGACCAGUCCAGAUACACUCCUACUCUGUGGGAGCUGGAGGAGGGGACGUCUAUGGUAGUGGAGUUAUUAUUAUGCCAGGCAGAGUAACUGAUGUCAGAGCAGAACAGACUCCAGGACUUGUCAUUGUAUCCAAUCAGACAGUCCUUACCCCCUCCUCUCCUGCUG
rnacentral:lncRNA from 1 species